rnacentral:rRNA from 1 species
UGGGGAAUAUUGCACAAUGGGCGCAAGCCUGAUGCAGCGACGCCGCGUGGGGGAUGACGGCCUUCGGGUUGUAAACUCCUUUCGCUAGGGACGAAGCUUUUUGUUACGGUACCUAGAUAAGAAGCACCGGCUAACUACGUGCCAGCAGCCGCGGUAAUACGUAGGGUGCGAGCGUUGUUCGGAAUUACUGGGCGUAAAGGGCUCGUAGGUGGUUUGUCGCGUCGUCUGUGAAAUUCCGGGGCUUAACUCCGGGGGUGCAGGCGAUACGAGCAUAACUUGAGUACUGUAGGGGUAACUGGAAUUCCUGGUGUAGCGGUGAAAUGCGCAGAUAUCAGGAGGAACACCGAUGGCGAAGGCAGGUUACUGGGCAGUUACUGACGCUGAGGAGCGAAAGCAUGGGUAGCGAACAGG